rnacentral:miRNA from 1 species
CUCGCCGGGGCUGCGUGCCG